UGGGAAAUGGCUCAGUGAUAAGAGUGCUUGUCUAAUAGGCAAGAGACUCUGGGUUCCAUCCCCAGCAUUGCAA
rnacentral:tRNA from 1 species